rnacentral:rRNA from 1 species
UGUGCUCGUCCUCCCACGACUACGCUAUCACUCCUACGGGAGGCAGCAGUGGGGAAUCUUGGACAAUGGGGGCAACCCUGAUCCAGCCAUGCCGCGUGAGUGAUGAAGGCCUUAGGGUCGUAAAGCUCUUUCGCCUGUGAUGAUAAUGACAGUAGCAGGUAAAGAAACCCCGGCUAACUCCGUGCCAGCAGCCGCGGUAAUACGGAGGGGGUUAGCGUUGUUCGGAAUUACUGGGCGUAAAGCGCGCGUAGGCGGAUUAGUCAGUUAGAGGUGAAAUCCCAGGGCUCAACCCUGGAACUGCCUUUAAUACUGCUAGUCUUGAGUUCGAGAGAGGUGAGUGGAAUUCCGAGUGUAGAGGUGAAAUUCGUAGAUAUUCGGAGGAACACCAGUGGCGAAGGCGGCUCACUGGCUCGAUACUGACGCUGAGGUGCGAAAGUGUGGGGAGCAAACAGGAUUAGAUACCCUGGUAG